UAAUUACAUUGUCUGCACGUUUUUCAAAUGUUUCCAUUGGUGAGGUAUCGUAUGCAUAAUUUUAAUCAACUAGCGUUUUGCCACACGACGUGUAGUCGCGCUUCCAUCGCACGACCAAUAUCGAUGUAGCUGCGCGUUGGCAUGAAACCGAAUUUAAACCUCGCCUUCGCCACCAGAUGCGCUGACCUUGCGUCAUGCGUCAGACACGCCACCGAAGCGAGCGAGGCCGGUUGCGCAUGUGAACUUCGCUUGUUCCACGAGUUCCUUCUCCGCUUCGACGUGACACCGCUGCACUACUAGACUGCGACAAGGACAUAAUUGGUUCCAAGGUACGAAGAAGGGAGAAGGUCGUCCAGAAGACCUGCCGAAACAAUGCUCAAAACCACCAUUUAUUGGCGUCUGCCAUCCGUUAGAAGCUGCUUGGUAUUACGACAAGAAUGAUAAUUCCUGUAAGUUGCUCCAACGUGGCACUUGCGCUGGUGGUAAUAACCUUUUCCCCACAAUGAACCGAUGCACGAAGGAAUGCAUACCCCUGACUCCAAAAAAUUCCGCGGUUUGCCUUCAACGACCAGUCAUCGGAACCUGCGCUCCUGUAAUGCUGGCCUGGUUUUAUGACGGACGAAGCAAGCACUGCAAAAUGUUCAACCACACAAUUUGCGGUGGAGGCGGCAAUUGGUUCCUGACUGAACUGAAGUGCCAGGCUACUUGCCUACCAAAAAAGAAGUCCAAAGCCGUCUGCAGCUUGGCGCCAAGUCCUGGGAGGUGUUUUUUAGCAAACAGAAAAUGGUACUUCGAUGAGAAAGACAAUUCAUGUCGCGCAUUUCUUAACCGACAAUGCGGAAGUAACGACAACGCUUUUGCAACAAAGGAGAAGUGCUUGGAAAGAUGCAGUUAUAACAAAGCAACUUCAACAUGCGUAAACUGCGAGCAAACGCAUAAAAAUGAGCUACCUUCAACGAUAGCAUCCGACCAGCCCGGCAAGCCCGUCCAACCAGUCAAUUCCAACGGGAUCCCUCUCUAUAGGCCACAUCAUCUACCGCCACCACCCAACUUCUCCAAGAAACCCCUUGCGGGGGCUGUACCUACCUUGCCUGGUAUCGGCACAACUCUGCCAGCAGAAACAAAGCCUUGAUGACUCUGUCAACAGUGCGCUUAAAAGAUGAAUACUGCUCGUAUCUCUUUCACACUGAAUGUAGCUUAUGAAAAAGUUGGUACACAACUGCCACAAUAAUAAAACAGAGGAUUGCGGCUGAAAUACCUUUGCAGCGUAUAU